CGGGUCGUGGCGCAGAUGGGCAGCGCGCUCGCCUUGGGAGCGGGAGGGCGCCGGUUCGAAUCCGGCCGACCCGA
rnacentral:tRNA from 2 species